CAGUUAUUGGGUAUCAAAACCUAAUAGCGAAAUUAACAUAACUUUUAUGGGAUUAGUUUUUAGAUUAUUUAUAGUCUAUUAAUUCAAUCCCGGGGCGUUCUAUAUAGUUAUGUAUAAUAAUAUUUAUAUUAUUUAUACCUCUAACUAGAGCGUACCUUGAGCAUAUAUGCUGUGACCCGAAAGAUGGUGAACUAUACUUGAUCAGGUUGAAGUCAGGGGAAACCCUGAUGGAAGACCGAAACAGUUCUGACGUGCAAAUCGAUUGUCAGAAUUGAGUAUAGGGGCGAAAGACCAAUCGAACCAUCUAGUAGCUGGUUCCCUCCGAAGUUUCCCUCAGGAUAGCUGGUGCAUUUAAAUAUUAUGUAAAAUAAUCUUAUCUGGUAAAGCGAAUGAUUAGAGGCCUUAGGGUCGAAACGACCUUAACCUAUUCUCAAACUUUAAAUGGGUAAGAACCUCACCUUUCUUGGUAUGAAGGUUGUGGUUGUGAUAUAAUGUGCCCAGUGGGCCACUUUUGGUAAGCAGAACUGGCGCUGUGGGAUGAACCAAACGUAAUGUUACGGUGCCCAAAUUAACAACUCAUGCAGAUACCAUGAAAGGCGUUGGUUGCUUAAAACAGCA
rnacentral:rRNA from 1 species